GGAGAGAUGGCAGAGCCCGGUUGAAUGCGCCGCACUCGAAAUGCGGUAUGCGCCUUAAACGCAUCGGGGGUUCGAAUCCCCCUCUCUCCGCCA
rnacentral:tRNA from 1 species